rnacentral:rRNA from 1 species
UACGGAGGGUGCAAGCGUUAUCCGGAAUCACUGGGUUUAAAGGGUGCGUAGGCUGCUGCAUAAGUCAGGGGUGAAAGUUUGUCGCUUAACGAUAGAAUUGCCUUUGAUACUGUGCGGCUUGAAAUUAGGUGAGGUUGGCGGAAUGUGACAUGUAGCGGUGAAAUGCGUAGAUAUGUCAUAGAACACCGAUUGCGAAGGCAGCUGGCUAACCUAAAUUUGACGCUGAGGCCGGACAGCGUUGGUAGCAAACAUG